UACGUAGGGUGCGAGCGUUGCCCGGAUUUAUUGGGCGUAAAGGGCGCGUAGGCGGCCACGCACGUCCGUUGUGAAAUCGCCCGGCUCAACUGGGCGGGGUCGGCGGAUACGGCGUGGCUGGAGCAAGCUAGGGGGCAAUGGAAUUCCCGGUGUAGUGGUGGAAUGCGUAGAUAUCGGGAGGAACACCAGUGGCGAAGGCGGUUGCCUGGAGCUUCGCUGACGCUGAGGCGCGAAAGCGUGGGGAGCGAGUCCGG
rnacentral:rRNA from 1 species